rnacentral:rRNA from 1 species
CCUGGUUAACUAUAAGAGGUCAAGCCUGCCCAGUGACAUUGUUCAACGGCCGCGGUAUCCUAACCGUGCGAAGGUAGCGUAAUCACUUGUUCUUUAAAUGGGGACUAGUAUGAACGGCUUCACGAGGGCUAUGCUGUCUCCUUUAUCCAAUCAGUUAAACUAAUCUCCCCGUGAAGAAGCGGGGAUAUUCAUAUAAGACGAGAAGACCCUAUGGAGCUUUAAACAUUUAAAAUAUUCGAAUUUUAUACUUUAACUCUCAGAAAACUUCAUUAAGCAUGUCGUUUUAUUUUAAGUUUUAGGUUGGGGUGACCACGGAGAACAACCUAACCUCCACGUAGAAAGAAAUUUCCUUUCCAAGCAAAAAGCCACAUCUUUAUGCAUCAAAAUAUUGACCUGAAUUGACCCAAUUAUUUGAUCAACGAAC